rnacentral:rRNA from 1 species
UAAGCAUAUCAAUAAGCGGAGGAAAAGAAACCAACAGGGAUUGCCCCAGUAACGGCGAGUGAAGCGGCAACAGCUCAAAUUUGAAAUCUGGCCCCCAGGGCCCGAGUUGUAAUUUGCAGAGGAUGCUUUUGGCGCGGUGCCUUCCGAGUUCCCUGGAACGGGACGCCAUAGAGGGUGAGAGCCCCGUCUGGUCGGACGCCUAGCCUGUGUAAAGCUCCUUCGACGAGUCGAGUAGUUUGGGAAUGCUGCUCUAAAUGGGAGGUAUAUGUCUUCUAAAGCUAAAUACCGGCCAGAGACCGAUAGCGCACAAGUAGAGUGAUCGAAAGAUGAAAAGCACUUUGAAAAGAGGGUUAAAUAGUACGUGAAAUUGUUGAAAGGGAAGCGCUUGUGACCAGACUUGGGCCCGGUGGAUCAUCCAGCGUUCUCGCUGGUGCACUCCGCCGGGUUCAGGCCAGCAUCGGUUCGCCGCGGGGGAAAAAGGCUUCGGGAACGUGGCUCCUACGGGAGUGUUAUAGCCCGUUGCAUAAUACCCUGGGGCGGACUGAGGUUCGCGCUCCGCAAGGAUGCUGGCGUAAUGGUCAUCAGCGACCCGUCUUGAAACACGGACCAAGGAGUCGUCUUCGUAUGCGAGUGUUCGGGUGUAAAACCCCUACGCGUAAUGAAAGUGAACGCAGGUGAGAGCUUCGGCGCAUCAUCGACCGAUCCUGAUGUUCUCGGAUGGAUUUGAGUAAGAGCAUACGGGGCCGGACCCGAAAGAAGGUGAACUAUGCCUGUAUAGGGUGAAGCCAGAGGAAACUCUGGUGGAGGCUCGCAGCGGUUCUGACGUGCAAAUCGAUCGUCAAAUAUGGGCAUGGGGGCGAAAGACUAAUCGAACCUUCUAGUAGCUGGUUUCCGCCGAA